CUGGAGAAUAAUGGAGAGACUCACCUUAAAGCUAAUGUAAAUGUGGUGUCGCUAAAAGUGGGAAGCCUCGUGGACGUUAGUAAAGCAUCUGCCAUAAAGUGCAGCCAAAAACCAGUGUGUUGUGGGAAAUGCAAUGCUGUCAUGUCCUCAGCAAGCAGCCCAGUGACACACCAAAAAACAAUAAUAUGGAGCUGUGAGUUUUGUGGGAAGGAGAACGUUUACCCCCAAACUACACUGAAGGGAGGCCGGUUUCCUUUGCGCAAUCCUCCAGGCAGGGAUAUACUUUACAUGGACGACGAUGAGGACACAGAGUAUGAGAAUCUCGAUGACAUGCUUAUUGUCCUGUGUGUGGACAUUUCUGGAAGUAUGAGCGUCACUUCUGAGGUGCCAAUCACUUUCAUUACAGACGAAUAACAGAGCUGUUAUUAUGUUCUCAACACCCUCACUUAAUGUUCACAUUAAAUAUAUUUUCCUCUCAGAUCUCUCCCGGUAACAGCAUGCGAUCGCCCACAUAUAUUUCGCGACUGCUGUUCUCAACACCCUCACUUAAUGUUCACAUUAAAUAUAUUUUCCUCUCAGAUCUCUCCCGGUAACAGCAUGCGAUCGCCCACAUAUAUUUCGCGACUGCAGGUAAAAAAAAAAAAAAAUGUAAUUAAAAAAAUGUUUUGCUUAUGUAAACAGGCACAAUAAAUGUGAAGUUACUCCCAUUUUUUGGGUUCAGGGAGUCCAAGAAGCUCUUCAGAUGGUGCUGUCCUCCCUGCAGAAAACCUCAUCUCACCGAAGAGUGGCACUGGUGACAUUUAACAAUGAGGUAAAGAGACUUAUGGGAAACACAUACUGUUUAUUAUUCC
rnacentral:lncRNA from 1 species